AUUGAACGCUGGCGGCAUGCCUUACACAUGCAAGUCGAACGGCAUCGCGGGAAAGCUUGCUUUCCUGGCGGCGAGUGGCGAACGGGUGAGUAACACAUCGGAACGUACCGGCUAGUGGGGGAUAACCCGUCGAAAGACGGGCUAAUACCGCAUACGCUCUUCGGAGGAAAGCAGGGGACCUUUUGGCCUUGCGCUAGCCGAGCGGCCGAUGUCCGAUUAGCUAGUUGGUGGGGUAAAGGCCUACCAAGGCGACGAUCGGUAGCGGGUCUGAGAGGACGAUCCGCCACACUGGGACUGAGACACGGCCCAGACUCCUACGGGAGGCAGCAGUGGGGAAUCUUGGACAAUGGGGGCAACCCUGAUCCAGCAAUGCCGCGUGGGUGAAGAAGGCCUUCGGGUUGUAAAGCCCUUUCGGCAGGGAAGAAAUCGGCGGGGCGAAUAACCCUGCUGGAUGACGGUACCUGCAGAAGAAGCACCGGCUAACUACGUG
rnacentral:rRNA from 1 species